rnacentral:lncRNA from 1 species
AGGCCCUGCAUGCCCAUGACGGAAGUGUGAAAAGAGCGAAUUGUAGCUCUUAAUGCAGUUAUCCUAACUUAUUGCAUAAUGAAUAAUUCGGUCAGCUUAAAAAAUGUCACAACCCUUUUGCAUUGUAUUUUGAAUUGUAUUUUGAGAGCAUGAUGACUUGAAAAAUGACUUUGAUGAUCUGCAACUUUGCCUGAUCACUAGUGUCACAGUAGAAAUUUUGAUUUGCUUCAUGUACUAGGCAUUUCCUUAAGGGGAUGAUUAUCAAAAAUAGUUUCCAGGGUAGUUUUACUUCAGGACAUGCAAAGCAUUAGCUUACAUGAACAAAUUGUGAAUUAUUAUCACAAAUAAGUUUAACAGGUUCCAGAUGGCAAGUUACUAUUUUGAGUAACGAGCGUUUGGCAUAAAAGCACCACUUCUAUUUGAGAAGAAGAGAGCUGUUGACUAAUUUAUACACGGACAGGGAUAUUACCCACUAAAAUAAUGACACUAUUUGGUUGUUUAUUGAGUACCAUGUAUUAUUGAAAUUCAGUACCACAUGCACCUUUUUAUUAUUACGUUACAAUGACCGUCAGGUCAGCUGAUCAGGAAGUGAUGUAACAAAUGCUGUGACCUCUGCUCAUCUUAAGCUCCAGCUGCAGAGUUACAAUCUUCAUAUGAAUGUAGGGUUUUCAUUGCCUGGAUGAGUUGAGGCAGGUUUACUUCAUGUCUACAUCUUGGCUCAAUGGGAUGAAACAGGUUUGGAGAUGGUUAUUCCCUGAAUGCUUGGCUGUGGUCACUUGGAGGAUGUUGCGUAGGACCCUGGUGUGUUUGAAGGUGGUCUGCAGCUUUAGUGCAGAUUAAGCUAUUGAGUAGAUAUCCACGACCCAAGUCUGCCAGCUGCACAUAGUUUGGGAUUGAUACUGACAUCUGACUUUUUUGCAGACGUUUUAAUGGUCCAAUCAGGCAGGAGCCGUAACGUUGAAAUUCGGUCCUCAAAAUACAGGGAUGUUUCACACACACUUUCGCCGCUGCUCUUCAUAGAUUGGCUCAACUGAUUGGGAGCUGUCAGUGACGUUGUUCAUGGUCCAAUCCGGCAGGACUGUGCCACAUGAUUGCGGUCCACAACAAACAGAAAAGGACGGAUGUGCUGUGACCGCAACUCAUUGUCCAUCAGGAGUGACUUGCUGUGACAGAACACUUGUGAUCUAUCUGGAGGGAUUUGUGAUGACAGUCACCCAUUGAUCACUCGGAAGGAAAAGGCAUUUACUGUAAUAUCAACCCAUUAAUCCCUCUGGGGGAGUGACCCAUUGAUCUCUCAGGAUAGGAGGAACUUGCAAUGACAGUGUUGCAUUGAUGUAUCCGGAGGACUUUGCUGUGAGAGGGUCACCCAUUGAUCAAAGAGGAGGGACUUCUAGUAGAGGCUUGGGUUAAUCAAAUCAAAUUUUGUCAAUGUCCACAUUGUGCACCCCUUUCAGAAAUUAAAAUUUUUAUUUUGCGGGAAAAAAACGCAUUUAACAUUUUUGAAUUGAGAUCUGGUGCAACUAACAUGUUAGUUUUGCUGUGAAUGUGAUCCAUUGAUUGGUUGACAAUGUUUGAUGAAUUUAAAAACUUGAAAAUGUUGACAUUUUCCCAUGGGGGCGCUGUUAAAAAACAAACAUCAUGCACAAUUUCCACGGGACGUUAAAAUCAGGAGAGUUUUCCUGCAAAUUAAAGGGAAUGUACAUCAUUGGCUUUUGCUGUAAUUUUCAGAAAUGAACUAUUUGAGGGGUUAGUAUAAUAG